rnacentral:rRNA from 1 species
GUUACCGCUCUACAACCCUUUGUGAACAUACCUAACCGUUGCUUCGGCGGGCAGGGGAAGCCUCUCGCGGGCCUCCCCUCCCGGCGCCGGCCCCACCACGGGGACGGGGCGCCCGCCGGAGGAAACCAAACUCUAUUUACACGACGUCUCUUCUGAGUGGCACAAGCAAAUAAUUAAAACUUUUAACAACGGAUCUCUUGGUUCUGGCAUCGAUGAAGAACGCAGCGAAAUGCGAUAAGUAAUGUGAAUUGCAGAAUUCAGUGAAUCAUCGAAUCUUUGAACGCACAUUGCGCUCGCCAGCAUUCUGGCGAGCAUGCCUGUUCGAGCGUCAUUUCAACCCUCAAGCACCGCUUGGUUUUGGGGCCCCACGGCAGACGUGGGCCCUUAAAGGUAGUGGCGGACCCUCCCGGAGCCUCCUUUGCGUAGUAACUAACGUCUCGCACUGGGAUCCGGAGGGACUCUUGCCGUAAAACCCCCAAAUUCUUUACAG